rnacentral:rRNA from 1 species
AUACGUAGGGUGCAAGCGUUAAUCGGAAUUACUGGGCGUAAAGCGUGCGCAGGCGGUUUUGUAAGACAGUGGUGAAAUCCCCGGGCUCAACCUGGGAACUGCCAUUGUGACUGCAAGGCUGGAGUGCGGGAGAGGGGGAUGGAAUUCCGCGUGUAGCAGUGAAAUGCGUAGAUAUGCGGAGGAACACCGAUGGCGAAGGCAAUCCCCUGGGCCUGCACUGACGCUCAUGCACGAAAGCGUGGGGAGCAAACAGGAUUAGAUACCCUGGUAGUCCACGCCCUAAACGAUGGCAACUGGUUGUUGGGGAUUUAUUUUCUCAGUAACGAAGCUAACGCGUGAAGUUGACCGCCUGGGGAGUACGGCCGCAAGGUUAAAACUCAAAUGAAUUGACGGGG